CUAGUUCUACGGGGGGCAGCAGUGGGGAAUAUUGCACAAUGGGGGAAACCCUGAUGCAGCAACGCCGCGUGAAGGAAGACGGUUUUCGGAUUGUAAACUUCUGUUCUUAGUGAAGAGAAAUGACGGUAGCUAAGGAGCAAGCCACGGCUAACUACGUGCCAGCAGCCGCGGUGAUACGUAGGUGGCAAGCGUUGUCCGGAAUUACUGGGUGUAAAGGGAGCGCAGGCGGGAAGCCAAGUCAGCUGUGAAAACUACGGGCUUAACUUGUAGACUGCAGUUGAAAAUGGUUUUCUUGAGUGAAGUCG
rnacentral:rRNA from 1 species